UGCAGUCGAGCGGAGUUUCACUCCUGCAGCGGACUUCGGUCCAAAGCUUUGUGAAACUUAGUGGCGAACGGGUGAGUAACAGGUAGACAACUUGCCCCAACGUCUGGGAUAACAUCGGGAAACUGGUGCUAAUACCGGAUAGGAUAUAGAUUCGCAUGAAUUUAUAUUUAAAGAUGGGUUAAACCAUCGCGAUGGGAGAGGUCUGCUUCGUAUUAGCUAGUUGGUGGGGUAAUGGCCUACCAAGGCAAUGAUGCGUAGCCGAGCUGAGAGGCUGAUCGGCCACACUGGAACUGAGACACGGUCCAGACUCCUACGGGAGGCAGCAGUUAGGGAUAUUCCGCAAUGGGCGCAAGCCUGACGGAGCAAGACCGCGUGGGGGAGGAAGGCUCUUGGGUUGUAAACCCCUUUUCUCAAGGAAGAACACAAUGACGGUACUUGAGGAAUAAGCCUCGGCUAACUCCGUGCCAGCAGCCGCGGUAAUACGGAGGAGGCAAGCGUUAUCCGGAAUGGUUGGGCGUAAAGCGUCCGUAGGUGGCUGUUCAAGUCUGCUGUCAAAGACAGUGGCUUAACUACUGAAAGGCAGUGGAAACUGAACAGCUAGAGUACGGUAGGGCCAAGAGGGAAUUCCCGGUGUAGCGGUGAAAUGCGUAGAUAUCGGGAAGAACACCGGUGGCGAAAGCGCUCUGCUGGGCCGUAACUGACACUGAGGGACGAAAGCUAGGGGAGCGAAUGGGAUUAGAUACCCCAGUAGUCCUAGCCGUAAACGAUGGAAACUAGGUGUAGCCUGUAUCGACCCGGGCUGUGCCGAAGCUAACGCGUUAAGUUUCCCGCCUGGGGAGUACGCACGCAAGUGUGAAACUCAAAAGGAAUUGACGGGGGCCCGCACAAGCGGUGGAGUAUGUGGUUUAAUUCGAUGCAACGCGAAGAACCUUACCAGGGCUUGACAUGUCCGGAAUCUUUGGUGAAAGCCGAGAGUGCCUUCCGGGAGCCGGAACACAGGGGGGUGCAUGGCUGUCGUCAGCUCGUGUCGUGAG
rnacentral:rRNA from 1 species